rnacentral:rRNA from 1 species
AACGAACGCUGGCGGCAUGCCUAACACAUGCAAGUCGAACGAGACCUUCGGGUCUAGUGGCGCACGGGUGCGUAACGCGUGGGAACCUGCCCUUAGGUUCGGAAUAACUCCCCGAAAGGGGUGCUAAUACCGGAUAAUGUCUUCGGACCAAAGAUUUAUCGCCUUUGGAUGGGCCCGCGUUGGAUUAGCUAGUUGGUAGGGUAAAGGCCUACCAAGGCAACGAUCCAUAGCUGGUCUGAGAGGAUGAUCAGCCACACUGGGACUGAGACGCGGCCCAGACUCCUACGGGAGGCAGCAGUGGGGAAUAUUGGACAAUGGGCGAAAGCCUGAUCCAGCAAUGCCGCGUGAGUGAUGAAGGCCUUAGGGUUGUAAAGCUCUUUUACCCGGGAUGAUAAUGACAGUACCGGGAGAAUAAGCUCCGGCUAACUCCGU